AGGACGAACGCUGGCGGCGUGCUUAACACAUGCAAGUCGAGCGGAAAGGCCCUUCGGGGUACUCGAGCGGCGAACGGGUGAGUAACACGUGAGUAACCUGCCCCUAGCUCUGGGAUAGCUCCGGGAAACCGGGAUUAAAUACCAGAUACGACCACUUUAGACAUCUGUCGUGGUGGAAAGGAUUCCGGCUAGGGAUGGGCUCGCGGCCUAUCAGCUUGUUGGUGGGGUAACGCCUACCAAGGCGCGAUCGACGAAGGUCCACUUUCUGUGGGUUGACGGUAGGUCGAGAAGAAGCACCGGCCAACUACGUGCCAGCAGCCGC
rnacentral:rRNA from 1 species